GACGAACGCUGGCGGCGUGCCUAAUACAUGCAAGUUGAGCGCUGAAGGUUGGUACUUGUACCAACUGGAUGAGCAGCGAACGGGUGAGUAACGCGUGGGGAAUCUGCCUUUGAGCGGGGGACAACAUUUGGAAACGAAUGCUAAUACCGCAUAAAAACUUUAAACACAAGUUUUAAGUUUGAAAGAUGCAAUUGCAUCACUCAAAGAUGAUCCCGCGUUGUAUUAGCUAGUUGGUGAGGUAAAGGCUCACCAAGGCGAUGCUACAUAGCCGACCUGAGAGGGUGAUCGGCCACAUUGGGACUGAGACACGGCCCAAACUCAUACGGGAGGCAGCAGUAGGGAAUCGUCGGCAAUGGACGAAAGUCUGACCGAGCAACGCCGCGUGAGUGAAGAAGGUUUUCGGAUCGUAAAACUCUGUUGGUAGAGAAGAACGUUGGUGAGAGUGGAAAGCUCAUCAAGUGACGGUAACUACCCAGAAAGGGACGGCUAACUACGUG
rnacentral:rRNA from 1 species